GUGUAAAUAAGUUCAAAUAAAUAAUGUGAUUUAGUUGGUGGAAUUAAGUCAAAACUAAUUGAAUAUCUACAUUUUUGUAGAUGGAUCAUCGUUUGUGGAUGUAUAGUAUGUGCAUUAUGAAAUUGAUGCUAGUUUGAAAUCUGAGUUUAUUGACGGUGUUAGAAAUUUUAUUGACCAAACAAUGACACUUGACAUUUGCAAGAAUAAUGGAUUGGUUAGGUGUCUUUGUAGUGCAUUGUAAGAGCUUAAAUUUUUUGAACCAGAUAAGGUUAUGGUUCAUUUGUACCAUAAUGGAUUUAAGCCCAGAUAUUUUGUAUGGAUUCAUUAUGGAGACACUGACGAAUUUGAUGGUAUGUUUUUAUAAUUCGAUGCCUAUGGAUGUAUAUAAUAUGGUUACACCACAUGGUCAAAAGGAUUGAACAGGUUAGGGUUGAAUAUAACAUGGUUCAUUAAAUGAUCAUGAUGCGUUUGGGGUUCAAAGGGGGAUGGGAUCGGAACAAUAUUUUGAUGAAUCUCCCAAUGAAGAAGCAAGACACUUCUAUGAUCAAUUAGAAGAGUCUAGUUGUCCACUAUGUGAAAGGAAUCUGCAUUCUACCUUGUUAGUUGCCGUUAAAUUAAUGAAUAUUAAGUCAGAUUGGAAUAUUCUUAAUGCGGAUAUAAUCUGGAGUUUAACAUACCAAAGAACUUCUAUCAGAAAAACGUUUGAUGUCCAAGUUAGGAUUGACGUAUGAUAGAAUUCAUUGUUGUAUUAAUGGUUGCAUGUUGUUUUACAAGACUGGUAGUGAAUUAAAAAAUUAAAAAUUUUGUGGACAUGCUCGUUAUGAGAGGACUCCAAAUAAAAAGAUGGUGCCAAUUCAGGCGAUGCAUUAUUUACCUCUCAUUGCUAGGUUAAAGAGAUUGUAUGCAUCGAUGAGAUCUACCCACAUAUGAGAUGGCAUCGUGAAUAUAGAAGGUCACCAGGUGUCUUGUCUCAUCCAUAUGAUGGUGAAACAUGGAAACAUUUUGAUAAUGUAUAUCAUGAUUUUUCUAGUGGACCAAGAAAUGUUAGAAUGGGGUUGUGUUCAGAUGGUUUACACCAUUCUGUAAUGCAGUUUUGCCUUAUUCAUGUUUGCUGGUAUUUCUUAUUUCGUAUAAUCUUCCUCCUGAAAUGUACAUGACCAGUCCCUACAUCUUUUUAAGUUGUUUUAUUCCAGGUCCCCAUAAUUCAAAAAGUUUGAUUGAUGUCUAUCUACAAUAAUCUGUAGAUGAGCUCAAACUAUUGUGGUUUGAAUGCAUUUUGACUUAUGAUAUAUCAACUAAGCAGAAUUUUACUAUAUGUGUUUCUUUAAUGUGGACUAUUAAAAAUUUUCCUGCAUACAGAAUGUUGUUUGGUUAUAGUAAGGCAUUCACUUUAAAGUAUGGUAAAAAAAUACAUGGUUUAAUUUUUAUACCUAGUUCUUGACAAUGGACCAUGAUUUUAGACAGAUGAAAAAUGCAUUUAGAAAAAAUAAGGUUGAAAGUGACCCCCCCCACCUCCAUUAUCACAUAGCAUCAAAUUUGGGAGAAAGUUUCUCAAUUACCUAAAGUUACAGAAGCUUCACCUUCUAGACUUCCUGGGUAUGGUGUUGGAAGGACAAUCUGCUACAACAUAUCUUGAUGUGAUGAACAUUGAAAAAAAUUAUUUUGAUAAUUUGUUUAACACAAUGAUGAAUGUUAAGGAUAAGAAAAAAGACUAUCCAAAAGAAAGGAUGUACUUAAAUGAAUAUUGUAGGAGAAAAGAUUAUGGCUGCAGGAAUUACCUAAUGGUAGAAUAGUUAAGCCAAAAGUCAACUUUUCAUUCACAUUGAAUGAGAAACGUGAAUUUUGUGAGCGGGUUAAGAUCUUGAUGAUGCUGGAGGGCUGUGCUUCAAGUUUAGGAAAGUGAGCAUCAUAAAUGAAGGAAAAUUGAUAGGUAUAGAACUUCAUGAUUGUCAUGUGUUCAUGGAAACUUUAAUUCCUAUCGCUUUUAGUCAUCUACCAGAAAGGAUAUGGAAACCAAUCACAGAGGUAAGUCUUUUUUUAAAGACUUGUGUUCUGGAAAAUUGUUGGAGAAUAGUUUAGAACGGAUAUAAGAAUAUAUUGUUGUUAUUACCACUAAGUUGGAGAAGAUAUUUUCAUGUGGUUUCUUUGAUGUGGCGGAGCAUAUAUCAAUUCACCUUGUACAAGAGGGCUGACUCGGAGGUUCACUUCAAACAAGAUGGAUGUAUCCAUUUGAGAGGUAUCUAUUUGAAAUAUUCACUAAGUUAUAUAUAUUCACCAAGUCUUUUAUCAAUUAUCAAAUAUAUACACAUAUACAUGCAAAAAAUUGAUAGAUCCAAGCAAACAAUUAAGCAAAGGGGAAAGAUUGAAGGAUCAUUUGUUCAAGGUCAUAUUGGGAGAAAAAAUGGUGAUUUUUAUUCUUAUUACUUUGGUGAUGAUGUGUCAUAUAGGAGAAACAAGCUCAAUCGCAAUGAUAAAAGUGAUAUUGAUUUUUCAUUUCCACUUGUAUCGAUUUUUAAUCAAAAUGAUCGAGGAUCUAAAAAGCAUGUAAAGCAAGGCUACACUGAUAUGAAAAUGCAAUCAACUGUGACACAUAUUUUGCUUAAUUGUCCAGAGAUUCAACCAUAUCUCAAGUAAGUGUUAAAAAUAUGUUAUCACCUGGUAUUACAUACUAAUAUAUAAGUUUUCAUUAACUAACAAAAUACUUGAAUGUAAAAUGAUCUGCUUGUUAGCAAACACAUGGAGUAAUGAAGCCAUUUAGACAAAAAUUUUCAAAUGGCUAUACAACUAUGUAAUUAUGCAAUCACUAAGUAUUUAAUAAUAUAUUCAUGUUAUACUAAAUUAUAUUACUUGAAAUAACAAUCACGUAGAUUUACGAUGAAUAGUCAAGUGUCAAACAUUUGCAAUUAGUGAAAUCGGAAUCUCAGGACUGGCAAUGAAUAAGUAUUGUGUCAAUGAGUUUAAGUUUGAAACUGAAGAAGUUUCUAGGAACAAGAAAACAAAUAAUAGUGGUGUCUAUAUACAAGGUGAUAUUGACGGUACUAGCCAAACUGUUGAAUAUUAUGGUGUCAUUCAUCAGAUUACCGAAGUGAGGUAUUUAAGUUGGCCUAAGAAGAAGAUUGUAUUGUUUCGAUGUGAGUGCUUUGACCCAUCACAUAGAGGCACAAAGGUGGACCAUCAACAUAAUAUAAUUAAAGUUAAUCACACUAGGAAAUGCAGAAAUUAUGAUUCUUUUAUCAUUGCAAAAAAUGCUAAACAAGUGUAUUACACUCCAUAUCUAUUGCGUAGAGACAAAGCUGACUGGUGGAUUAUUAUAAAAAGUAAGCUUGUGGGAAUAAUUGAUAUUGACAUUGUAUUAGAUGUAGCGUAUCAAAAUGAUGUUGUGAUUGUUCAAUGGCAAGUUGAUGUUGAAUUGUAAGCCAUACUACAACAUCCUCAACAAUAUUAGAAGAAGUAUCUGAUGAUGAGAUACUGAAUUUUGAGGAAAAAGUAUCUGAUAAUGAGGAGAAUGAAUCAUUUGAUGAAGAAGAAUAGGACGAUAAUGAAAAUGAAUAAACUGAGGAGCAAGAAUGAAGAAUGAUGGAAUUGAAACAUGUUAGGAGGAAUAGUGUAGAAUGAAAGCUAGCUAGUAUAUAUAUGUAGGUUAGUGUAUUUUGCUAAUUUUAUUGAAUUUAUGAUUUUUAUAUGUAUUAUACAUGUAAAUUUGCAUGCGGAUGUCAUCAAGCGGUCACGGUGAUAGACAUUGUGAGCAUCUUGGAGUUCGCCUGACUAAACAAUCCAAAAAGAAGAAGUCUAGGAGACCUAUAGAUCGUGAGGAUAUUGCAGAAUCUAUGUCUUCUGCGCUAGACUGCAUCAACGAUGAUACACAUAUACUUAUUCCAUUUAGUAUGGCGGAUCCUCAACAAUAUUAUCCUAGUUACCGUCAAUCAGUCGGUGGUUCCUCUACUUUAUAGACAUUGCCUUCAUUACGCUACGAGGACCUACUUUUACAAACUAUUCAUUGAGGAUGACCCUUAUCGUUCGGUACUCCAUCUCCCACAAGUACAUCUCCUCAGUUAUCUGCCAUGAGGACUAGAGAUUCUAGUAGCGAGCAUUCAGAUGCCAUGGCAUGUACGCCUCCAUUGGCUUAGCGUUAUGUGCAUUCUUACGAAUCAUCCUCAGCUACAGCUACACCUUAUGCUACUCCAGAUGAUGAGAUGCCUCCUCUAGUUCCUGACCAGAAGGACGGACUUGGUAGAGUCAUAAUUGAACCGAAUGGAUCACCGUGGCAUCCGGCAAAGGAUGUUGCCUGGGCUUUAAAAACUCUAUAUUAGAUCUCUAGACAUUUAUGAUUUUUUUUUGUAAUUUUGAAAGACUUUAUAAGUCUUUAAAUUUUUAUUUAGAUGCUUUUGAAUGUUAUUUUAAGUUUCUUGUUUUAUGUUGUGUAGAUUGUUUAUAUAAUCGUGUGUGUUUGAUUGGGCUGAAUAGUGUAAAAUUGAAUUGAAUUGAAUUUGCAAGUGGGCAACAGAAUUGUCAA